rnacentral:tRNA from 1 species
AAGCUUAGGAUAACAUAAACCAAGGACCUUCAAAGCCCUAAAUAGGGACUAAAGCCCCCCUAGCUUCU